rnacentral:rRNA from 1 species
ACGAACGCUGGCGGCGUGCUUAAUACAUGCAAGUCGAACGAGGACCAGGGAGCUUGCUCCCUGUAACCGAGUGGCGAACGGGUGAGUAACACGUGAUCAACCUGUCCUAGGGCGGGGGACAACCUGGGGAAACCUGGGCUAAUACCGCAUGAUGUCUCAUUCUCGCAUGGGAAUGAGAUCAAAGAGGGCCUCUGCUUGCAAGCUCUCACCCAAGGAGGGGAUCGCGACGUAUCAGCUUGUUGGUGGGGUAACGGCCUACCAAGGCUAUGACGCGUAGCGGGUCUGAGAGGAUGACCCGUCACAUUGGGACUGAGAUACGGCCCAGACUCCUACGGGAGGCAGCAGUAGGGAAUAUUGCGCAAUGGACGAAAGUCUGACGCAGCGACGCCGCGUGUGGGAGGAAGCCUUUCGGGGUGUAAACCACUGUCAGAGGGGAAGAAUCCCGUCGGUCUGAAUAUGGCCGGCGGCUGACGGUACCCUCAGAGGAAGCGCCGGCUAACUCCGUGCCAGCAGCCGCGGUAAGACGGAGGGCGCAAGCGUUGUUCGGAAUUACUGGGCGUAAAGGGCGGGCAGGCGGUCCGUUAAGUCUUCUGUGAAAAUCCGGGGCUCAACCCCGCGAAAUGCAGGAGAUACUGGCGGACUAGAGACCGGUAGAGGCUAGCGGAAUUCCUGGUGUAGCGGUGGAAUGCGUAGAUAUCAGGAAGAACACCUGUGGCGAAGGCGGCUAGCUGGGCCGGAUCUGACGCUCAUCCGCGAAAGCGUGGGGAGCAAACAGGAUUAGAUACCCUGGUAGUCCACGCCGUAAACGAUGGGCACUAGGUACUGGGUCUAUAGACGGAUUCAGUGCCGCAGCUAACGCAUUAAGUGCCCCGCCUGGGGAGUACGGUCGCAAGGCUGAAACU